CAGGGAUUGCCUCAGUAACGGCGAGUGAAGCGGCAAAAGCUCAAAUUUGAAAUCUAGCACUUUCAGUGUUCGAGUUGUAAUUUGAAGAAGGUAACUUUGGUUUUGGCUCUUGUCUAUGUUCCUUGGAACAGGACGUCACAGAGGGUGAGAAUCCCGUGCGAUGAGAUGCCCAAUUCCAUGUAAAGUGCUUUCGAAGAGUCGAGUUGUUUGGGAAUGCAGCUCUAAGUGGGUGGUAAAUUCCAUCUAAAGCUAAAUAUUGGCGAGAGACCGAUAGCGAACAAGUACAGUGAUGGAAAGAUGAAAAGAACUUUGAAAAGAGAGUGAAAAAGUACGUGAAAUUGUUGAAAGGGAAGGGCUUGAGAUCAGACUUGGUAUUUUGCGUUCCCUUCCUUUUUGGUUGGGUUCCUCGCAGUUUACUGGGCCAGCAUCGGUUUGGAUGGUAGGAUAAUGACAUUGGAAUGUAGCUUUACUUCGGUGAAGUGUUAUAGACUUUGUUGAUACUGCCUAUCUAGACCGAGGACUGCGUCUUUGACUAGGAUGCUGGCGUAAUGAUCUUAAGCCGCCCGUCUUGAAACACGGACCUCCUGUGUGAA
rnacentral:rRNA from 1 species